UUUUUUUUUUGUUUUUCUUUUUUUUUUGAACUAGAAUGCACUUGACUCUGGGGACAGAGGCUUUCCUUCAGAAAUUUUUGCUGAGUUUAUGACACAAAUAGCUAUGUCCCUCUAGCCUUUAUUAACUUGAACCUACACAAUCUAUGUGUCCACAUCCCCUUGUUUGCUAUUUGGUUUGUUGCACUGCUGGAGACUGCUGCGUUUCCUUAGAAAAGGCUCUCCCAUCUGCAGCUAUCGUAUCUUCCCCUCUUGUGUCAUUCUAGCACAUUGCCUUGCAGCUUGACUGACACUGAGGCCAGAGCAGAGCCACUGGUCCUGCCGGGGGCCCAGCGCACCAGGCACCACUUGGCCCCCAGGAGCUGCGGGUGCGGGCACGAGCUGGGCUCCCCAGCGCAGCCGGAAGCCACAUGGGAUUUUGCCUGAAUGAGUAUUGGAGAUGAGCUCUCGUUCAGAGCCACAAACAACUCUUUAAGGAGUGUUCAGAAGAUGGAAAUCUGCUAUAUUACAAUUUCAGAAAACAGUAGAUGCACACUGGACGUAAUGACCUCUCCCUUUCUGACCCUUUUUGGGUUUGCUAACCCAAACACAGUGAGUGCUCUGAACAGUCCAGCUUUAGCCCUUGACCCGUGUUCAUUAGUUAUUUUUACAGUGUACUGUGCUGAAUGCAAGAGAUCACUAUACAUAAAAAGUAGAGUUCAGUAAGCAGUGUGGAACAGAGUUUGUAUGCUGGCUUACAGGUUUACUCUACAGUUACUAGGUUAGUCAUUUCCAGCCAUAAGUCAGGAGAAUUUGGUUGGUGCUCAGGGUUUUGACCUCCCUUUCCCCUCUCUCUGCCACUGAAGUCACCUGAAGUCAUCAUUUUCAACUGAAAAAUUUUAAGUGUUAUGUUCAUCUGUGGCAACCACUUCUUGAAGAUCUCAGCCCCACUCCUCUUUCCACUACCUCUGCAGGUGCUCCUGGAAAGUGAAGAGGAGACCUCCACUGCCUGUGCCUAUGACUCUGCAGUUUCCCAGGGCUGGUAAGGUACCAGUGUGUGCUGAGCAACACUGGUGCUAUUCUGGGAUACUAACGUGUGCAUCUCAUAGUGCUUGUAUGUAUGUUACAAGAUUUUGGAGGAUAGAAUAGGAAGGGAGACUAGGGGGACCUUACUAUUUUCUUUAGAAAUAGCCUUCCUCCUCUGUUAUCCCUUGACAUCUGCCCGGCUUGUGGGGCAGUGUGCACUUCUCUCCCCUGCAAAGGCUUUGUUCUUUCUAGAAAAGGUUUCCAGAAGGAUGCAGACAGCACUGAAAUCCCACUCAGUCUGCUUGCUUUUUACCAGCCCUACUCAAUUGCCCUGCAAGAACAGAGAGGGAUCUUUUCCCUGCUCUCUGGAGUAAAGUCCUCCAUUACCAUGUCAUGAAAGAAAACAGGCUGUUUGGUAGCUAAGGAAAAAUGCUGACUUUAAACCUGAGAUAAGGCUCUAUCAUUUACAC
rnacentral:lncRNA from 1 species